rnacentral:rRNA from 1 species
UGCAUAUUUUAGAGCUAAAUCAAUUUUGAGAAGAAUAAUUAAAAAUUACUUUCAAAUCGACUUUAUAAUAUAUUUAAAAAAUAUUAACCAUUUAAGUAUACUUAUUGUAACCCAUCUCUACUUAUCUACAGCUGCAUCUUGAUCUGAAUUCCCUCCUUAUAAAGACUAAUGACCAUUAAUAAUUCUUAUAAAAAAAUCAACCACGAUGAUAUACAAGCAAAAAAUAAGUUCAUAUAAUCGUGGAUUAUCAAUUACAGGACAGGUUCCUCUGAAAAGACUAAAAUACCGCCAAAUUCUUUUGUUUUCAAGAUAAUAACUAAUACUAACCAGGCAAAAAUUUUCAUUUUAUAUUAUAU